rnacentral:rRNA from 1 species
GAUGAACGCUGGCGGCGUGCCUAAUACAUGCAAGUCGAGCGAAGCGGGGACGGGUGAGUAACACGUGGAUAACCUCCUAUAAGACGGGGUAAACAUCGGGAAACCGGAGCUAAACCGGAUAUUUAUAGCUGGAUACGCGCUGCAUUAGCUAGUUGGUAAGGUAACGGCUUACCAAGGCAACGAUGCAUAGACGACCUGAGAGUGGGAGCGGCCACACUGGAACUGAGACACGGUCCAGACCCCUACGGGAGGCAGCAGUAGGGAAGCUUCCGCAAUGGGCGAAAGCCUGACGGAGCAACGCCGCGUGAAUGAUGAAGGUCUUCGGAUCGUAAAACUCUGUUAUUAGGGAAGCGGUACCUAAUCAGAAAGCCACGGCUAACUACGUGCCAGCAGCCGCGGGAAUAC